UUAAUCUGCAGUCACUGAAGUGCUUCCUGUGGUUAGCCACUACAGUUCAGAGAGGCAGUAUGAGAGUUAGACUUGGCCAAACAUCCAUAUCCAAGGCUGAGACCUGAAGCAGUCUGCUAACCCAGCUCCUACCAACGGACUUUAUAGCAGCUGCAGCAGAGAAUUCACAGAGCUGCUGUCACAUCGCCAUCCACUCAGCUGUCUAACUGGGAAAGCGAUUGAUUGUUCCUCUAAACACCUGCCCCGUUCUCAGCCUCGGUCAUCACUCAGUCCUGCUUACCCUAUUUUCCAAACGGACACACUUCUCUACCCUCACUACCACUCUACAAAUCUGAGCCACUGUCCUCUCCCAAGUUGACUGUUGCAAGUAACUACUAACUACUGACAGCUGCCCUGCUUCCUUGGUGGUUCCAGAUGUUCAGAAAGCCCAAUCAAUCUGUAUAGAAAACUGCUCUGCUUCUCCUGCUAAGUAUUCUAGGUGUGGGAGGGAGGGCUAAGCAAUGACUGAUGGAAACUGCCACACAGCUGAAGUAUGCCCAGCUUCAGCCACUACAGUAUCAACAGGUGCAGAGAGCUUACAGACUGCUUUGAUGCAGAUGCCCUGUUUAUUUGUCCCUGUACUUUGUGACCCACUACAAAAUGAAAAUGCACAGUUUUCUGUUAAUUCUUACGAAUGUUGAGGGACCUACAUUCCACUAUCUCCCUCAGUGUGCACAUCAUCUUUAAAGAUUGAUCUUCUCAAAAGAAAUGCAGCAAAGCCAAUGGCAGCGGAUUGGUGGCAACACUCUGUGGCUGAGGGAUGACAGUGCCUGCCCGUGCAGUGGGCUGCAGAGGGGAGGCACAGUGCCCGACUUCCAGGGCUGGGCAGGAGGGAUUCGAUCAUGGGGUUUCUGGACCCUGUGCUGUUUCUUUUUCUUUUUCAUUCACCAGAGCUUUGCUCAGCUCUGACGAAUAGUAAGGGGUUCAAGAGACCGGACACUGGAUUUCUGAGCCUGAGGCAUGGAAAAUUGACGCCAGGCCCCUCCGCCAUUCAGGAAGCUCCCCGAGGUGAAGAACGACAUUGUCACUGACAGUCACCUCAGACACGGCACUCAGCAUGGCGCUGGCUGCACACGGUACACUGCAUGCGCUCCCGGAAUGUAGCGCGUUCCCUUGCAUUUGUCCUCUGCAACAUGAUUUCAGCUUCAAGGAGGUCUGUCUUGCGACUUUAUCAGCUCCAAGGAAUGAUUGUUUCUGUCCAUCACUUUUGUACAGGAAAACAAAACCGAGGGAGCAAAAGAACCACUUCCUUAUGUGUGUGAUAUGGAGCCUAGCACACCACAGUGUGCCCUGCCUGUCUCCACCACUCCAGGACACUCCUUUGUUUUACUUUAGAGAGAGAGGGGGAGAGAGAGACAUACAGACAGACAGACAGACAUGCCAGAGCAUUGUUCAGCCUAACACGCCACAGUGUGCCCUGCCUGUCUCCACUACUCCAGGACACUCGUUUUUUUUUUUUUUCUUGAGAGAGAGAGGGAGGGAGGUAGGUAGAGAGCGAGGCAGGGAGAGAGAGAGAGAGAGAGAGAGAGAGAGAGAGAUUGAGAGGAAGACAGACAUGCCAGAGCACUGUGCAGCUCUGUUUAUGGUGAUGCCAGGGAUUGAAGCUGGGACCUGGGAGUCUCAGGCAUGAAAGUCUUCUGUAUAACCAUUAUGUUGUCUUCACAGCUCUGUCUUUAGUUUUCUACAUGAUUUGAAUGGCAUCACACUGGCAUUUCUGAAAUUGAUUUAUUUGGGGAAGGAGGAAGGAAGAGUGGAAGGGAGGAAGGAGCGAGAGAAAGACCACGUGUGGGAGCUAGAGAGGGCGAGCACAUUUGCUCAGUUCUAGAGUAUGGUGGUGACCAGAUUCAGCCUAGGACAUCCCUGCCUCAGAUGCCAAAGCCUGGUGUGCUACAGCCUGUGUGUGCUCUCUCCUCGACCCACAUUACAGGAUUUGCUGUUUUCUUUUCUUUAUUUUUUCCCUCCAGGGUCAUCACUGGGGUUUGGUGCCAGCGCUAUGAACCCACUGCUCCUGGAGGCCAUGCCCCCAUUUUAUUGUACAGGACAGAGAGAACUUGAGAGGAGAGGGAUAGAGAAGGAGAAAGAAGGACAGACACCUCAGACCUGCUUCACCGCUUGUGAAGCAUCCCGCUUCAGGUGGGGAGCCAGGGGCUCAAACUCAGACCCUGGAGUGGGUCCCUGCCCUUCGUCUAUGUGUGCUUAGCUGGGUGAUCCACUGCCGGCCCCCGCUGUUUUUUGUAUUUCAACUUCAAACAUGACAAAGUCUUGGAUUUAGAACCUAUAAGUAAUUCAUUUGGGAAGUGAAGAAGAAAUAGAAGUCUCAUUCCACACCCAGCCUUUAACUUGUUUGUGUGUGUGAGGAGAGUGAAGAGCAAGGCCAGGACAUCUCUUUCUAGGCGUCAUGGGAGCUGGAAGGCAGAGCCUGAGGCCUGCAAGGCCUGUGCUCUACCACUGAGCCACCUCACAGGGACACCCUCUGGCACAGCUACACGUCCCUCUGCAUGGUGUGAGGACACACAUUCAUUACAGGGUGUUUGGUGGCUGCUUACAACUUGACUCUUUACAAAUUCUCGGCAAUAAAAAAGUGAAUCUUCCCUGACUAAUGUUUUUUCUUCUCUUUUUUUUCGUCAAAGA